rnacentral:rRNA from 1 species
AGCGAACGCUGGCGGCAGGCCUAACACAUGCAAGUCGAACGAAGUCUUCGGACUUAGUGGCAGACGGGUGAGUAACACGUGGGAACGUGCCCUUUGGUACGGAAUAACUCAGGGAAACUUGAGCUAAUACCGUAUGUGCCCUUCGGGGGAAAGAUUUAUCGCCAUUGGAGCGGCCCGCGUCUGAUUAGCUAGUUGGCGAGGUAAAGGCUCACCAAGGCGACGAUCAGUAGCUGGUCUGAGAGGAUGAUCAGCCACAUUGGGACUGAGACACGGCCCAAACUCCUACGGGAGGCAGCAGUGGGGAAUCUUGCGCAAUGGGCGAAAGCCUGACGCAGCCAUGCCGCGUGGAUGAUGAAGGUCUUAGGAUUGUAAAAUCCUUUCACCGGUGUAGAUAAUGACUGUAGCCGGAGAAGAAGCCCCGGCUAACUUCGUGCCAGCAGCCGCCGUAACAC